GCCUGGCUGGCUCAGUCAGUAAAGCAUGUGACUCUUGAUCUCAGGAUCCUGAGUUCAAACCCCACGUUGGGCA
rnacentral:tRNA from 1 species